ACCUAGCUGGCUCAGUUGGUAGAGCAUGUGACUCUUGAUCUUGGGGUUGUGGGUUUGAGCACCAUGCUGGGUA
rnacentral:tRNA from 1 species